UGCAAGUGUGAGAUCGGGCCCAAACAGGUGCCGAGUGCCGCGGGAGGCCGAUUGCAAGUGUCGACAAGCAAUCGGAACGCGUGUUAAGGUGGGUUGGUUUACCGAAGCGACUAGGUCGCCUUUAUGUCUAAGAAACUAAGAAUCCAUGUUGAUGCAUAUAAAUGUAAAUGAAGCAUGUAAAUGAUGCAUGUAGCUAAAUAAUGCAUGUUGAUAGUGUGAUGUAAAUGCUAAAUAGAAUGCAUUAUGAGCAAGUUGAAUAAAGCUAGAUAACUAUGUGAAUGCACGUAAGCAUAAUGCAUAGAAUGAAAUGCAUAUUGAUGACAUAAGUUAAAAUGAGAUAUAGAAUGCAUGAUGAACAAGUUAUAUAAUGCUACAUAAUUACAUGAAUGCAUGUGAGCAUAAUGGAUAGAAUGCAUGUUGACAUUGUGAGAUUAAAUGUGCAUGAAAACUAGGUUGAUAACCCUAGAAUGAUUAAAGUAAAUGAUGCUAUGCUAAAGUAUAGAUGAUAAGCAUGAUAUGAAAACAGUAAAUGCAAGUACAUGUUGAGAAUACUAAGUAAGGAAUAUAUAUAGGUGGACAUGAAUAAACCUAUAGAUUGAGUGGCAUUGAACCUAGUGUCGGAGACAUAUGUUAAAUAGAUGUGAUAUUGAACCUAGUGUCGGUGAACAUAGGUUAAAUAAGAAUGAUGUUAAACCUAAUGUAAAGAACAUAGGUCGUGAAAUGAAAGGUGCUUAACCUAGAGUCAAGUGAACCUAGG
rnacentral:lncRNA from 1 species